CACCUCAUACAGACAGAGGUCCGUGUUGGUUGUUUGCUAGUAGUUUGUAGUAUUCAUAAUCUUGGCUUCUUUUUGAAAAAACAUAUUUUGACGUGUACAUUAGUUUAUCGUCUCCUUUGCAAUACCAGAUACUUGCUGUGGCAUUCUAUAUCAUCAGGAAAUGUUUGCCUUGAAAGAUAAAUUGGAGGCAGAACGCCUUAAAGCGGAGAUAGAAAAACGUGAAGCUGACCAUAAAAUUGAAAUGCUACAAGCCGAAAUCAGCAGAAUGAAGGAGUCUCAGUCUCAGACAUCCUGGUGGAAUCGAUUAUUUGGAGGGAAUGGUGUCCCGAAGAAAGAUAGCGAUGAGAAGUGAAUCCGGUACACAUGGAUGGAUAUAAUUGGUGCCUGCCUGCCUGCUAGCUGUAAUCGCGAGGCUAUUGCUGUAUUUUGUCGCACCUAAUACUUAUUUCCUUUAAAUUUCAAUAUUGUAUAAGUACCUAGGUAACUUAUGUUACGUGUUAUUACUUACAGAAGUAAAACGAGUUACUUCCAUCUUCUUUGGCACUUCAUUCGUGUAAAUUCAUAUUAGGUAUCGAAUAAAAAUUAUUUGAAGUACUCGACUGUAAA